ACUGGUUUUCAAAAUCAAUUUUAUCUUAUUAAGUAGAUAUUAAACAACCCAGUAAUAGCUUGUUUUUUUAAUUCUUGUACAUAUUUGCUGAAAAAUAUCAAACGAAAAGUACAACAUUUAAAUAUCUCGCCAAUACGCUAUUUUGACAAUAUGGCGCUGCAACGGGGUCGGUGACGUCACUUGCCUGUAGUCUGAUCUGUGGCACCUGUCGUUUACAUACAUUUGUUGCAAACAAAAAAAAGAAAGUGUUAUUAUAACAGUGAUUUAUGUAAUAAAAUAAGUUACAAAUGGUGUGCAGUUCCAAAAUGUACGAAUACGUCGAUAAAUACUCCAUAAAAACUAUUCGUAAGUGUUCCAAAGAAUGUCAAAGUGCGCCGAAAGUGGUUGCAACUUUCUCGGAAGGAUUAUUACAUAGCGAAUAGUACAAAUAUUUUCUCCUGUGAAGACCUUUUCGAUAUGGAAAAGUUAAGAUAUUCAACAACCUAAAAUAAACAAUGAUAAGCCUACUGCUACUGCAAUCGAAACUUGUACAAAAAGUAUGCAAACUUAGUCUCUACAGCAUACUGAAAUUAUUUCUACGCUUCCAGAGUUUUAUUCCAAUUAACUAAGACAAAUUAUCCCAAAAAUGUGAGAAAAGUAUGUUAACAGAACCUGUUGUAAUAGUAGAAAAAUCAGUCCAGUGUCAUUUUAUAAAUAAAGUGCGUACGAGAAGCAAGAGAGUGCAAACUAAGCCCCUAACAAGAGAUACAGCUAUUUCUCCUCUCAA